AAUCAACGCUGGCGGCGUGCCUCAGACAUGCAAGUCGAACGCGAAAGUUUCCUUCGGGGAGCGAGUAGAGUGGCGCACGGGUGAGUAACACGUAGGUAAUCUACCUUCGGAUGGGGAAUAACAAUCGGAAACGGUUGCUAAUACCGCAUAAUGCAGCGGCACCUAAUGGUGACAGUUGUUAAAGCGGGGGAUCGUAAGACCUCGCGUCUGAAGAGGAGCCUGCGGCGGAUUAGCUUGUUGGUAAGGUAAUGGCUUACCAAGGCGACGAUCCGUAACCGGCCUGAGAGGGCGGUCGGUCACACUGACACUGACAUACGGGUCAGACUCCUACGGGAGGCAGCAGUCGGGAAUUUUGGGCAAUGGGCGAAAGCCUGACCCAGCAACGCCGCGUGAAGGAUGAAAUCCCUCGGGAUGUAAACUUCGCAAGAACGGGAAGAAUAAGCGAGAGUUAAUAUCUUUCGUGAUGACGGUACCGUUUGUAAGCUCCGGCUAACUCCGUGCCAGCCGCCGCAGUAAG
rnacentral:rRNA from 1 species